rnacentral:misc_RNA from 1 species
GAUGAGGAACGCAGCGAAAUGCGAUACGUAAUGUGAAUUGCAGAAUUCAGUGAAUCAUCGAAUCUUUGAACGCAUAUUGCGCUCUUUGGUAUUCCGAAGAGCAUGCUUGUUUGAGUAUCAGUAAACACCUCAAAGCUUUUGGAUUUUUUAAUCGAAAAGCUUUGGACUUGAGCAAUCCCAACACCAAUCUUUUUGAGAUCGGUGGCGGGUUGCUUGAAAUGCAGGUGCAGCUGGACAUUAUCCUGAGCUAACAGCAUAUUCAUUUAGUCCCGUCAAACGGAUUAUUACUUUUGCUGCAGCUAACAUAAAGGGAGUUUGACCGUAUUGGCUGACUGAUGCAGGAUUUCACAAGGGUCGGCAACGAUUCUUGUUAAACUCGAUCUCAAAUCAAGUAAGACUACCCGCUGAACUUAAGCAUAUCAAUAAGCGGAGGA